UGCCCACUGAUUUAUUAUUAAAGGGCUGCAGUAUAUUGACUGUACAAAGGUAGCAUAAUCAUUAGUCAUUUAAUUGAUGACUUGUAUGAAAGAUUGGAUAAGAUAUAAACUGUCUUUAUAAUAUAAAUAUAUAAUUUAAUUUUUUAGUUAAAAAGCUAAAAUAUGUUAAAAAGACGAGAAGACCCUAUAGAGUUUUAUUUUUAUUAAAAUUAGUGUUAUUUAUAAUUUUUAUUAAUUAAAAUUUUAUAAAAAAUUUUAUUGGGGUGAUAGAAAAAUUAAAUAAACUUUUUUUGAAAAAUUUACAUAAGUAAAUGGUUAAAUGAUCCAAUUUUAUUGAUUAUAAGAUUAAAUUACCUUAGGGAUAACAGCGUAAUUUUAUUUUUUAGUUCAAAUAAAAAAUAGAGUUUGCGACCUCGAUGUUGGAUUAAGAUAAAAUUUGAAUGUAGAAGUUUAAAGUUUUGA
rnacentral:rRNA from 1 species